UACGUAGGUGGCAAGCGUUGUCCGGAAUUAUUGGGCGUAAAGCGCGCGCAGGUGGUUUCUUAAGUCUGAUGUGAAAGCCCACGGCUCAACCGUGGAGGGUCAUUGGAAACUGGGGAACUUGAGUGCAGGAGAGAAGAGUGGAAUUCCACGUGUAGCGGUGAAAUGCGUAGAGAUGUGGAGGAACACCAGUGGCGAAGGCGACUCUUUGGCCUGUAACUGACGCUGAGGCGCGAAAGCUAGGGGAGCGAACGGG
rnacentral:rRNA from 1 species